rnacentral:tRNA from 1 species
GGGCGGGUGGCGGAAUUGGCAGACGCGCACGGUUCAGGUCCGUGUGUCCUUACGGACAUGGGGGUUCAAGUCCCCCCUCGCCCA